GACGAACGCUGGCGGCGUGCCUAACACAUGCAAGUCGAACGAGGUCCAGGGGAGCUUGCUCCCUGAAGACCUAGUGGCGAACGGGUGAGUAACACGUGAGAAACCUGCCCUCGAGUGGGGAAUAACCCGGGGAAACCCGGGCUAAUACCGCAUACGCUCCGCUGGUCGCAUGGCCGGUGGAGGAAAGUUUUUCGCUCAAGGAGGGUCUCGCGGCCUAUCAGCUUGUUGGGGGGGUAACGGCCCACCAAGGCUACGACGGGUAGCUGGUUUGAGAGAACGAUCAGCCACACUGGGACUGAGACACGGCCCAGACUCCUACGGGAGGCAGCAGUGGGGAAUCUUGCGCAAUGGGCGAAAGCCUGACGCAGCAACGCCGCGUGCGGGAUGACGGCCUUCGUGGUUGUAAACCGCUUUCAGCAGGGACGAAAAUGACGGUACCUGCAGAAGAAGCUCCGGCUAACUACGUGCCAGCAGCCGCCGUAA
rnacentral:rRNA from 1 species